rnacentral:piRNA from 1 species
UCAGAGUACAAUGAUGACCAGCGGAGAC